rnacentral:rRNA from 1 species
GACAGAGGUCCCGAGCGUUAGGCGGAAUCACUGGGCUUAAAGCGUGUGUAGGCGGCGGCCUAAGUACCUUGUGAAAUCCCACGGCUCACCCGUGGAACUGCUCGGUAUACUGGGUCGCUUGAGCCACUUAGGGGCUACCGGAACAAAUGGUGGAGCGGUGAAAUGCGUAGAUAUCAUUUGGAACGCCAAUGGUGAAAACAGGUAGCUGGGAGUGAUGCUGACGCUGAGACACGAAAGCCAGGGAGCAAACGGG